AGGGCGCUGCGUGCCUCAGGCGGGCGGGGCCGCGCCGUGCGGCCGGGACACAUGGGGCGAGCCGGCAGCAGCGCUACUCACCGGGAGGGUUUACCGCCGCCGGCGUUGCCAUCUUGUCUCUGAGCGGAAUUAAGUAACUGAAUCAUAGAAUAUCCCGAGUUGGAAGGGACCCAUAAGGAUUCGUUGAGUCCAACCUCUGGCUUCACGUGCGGCCACCCAAAAAUCAGACCCAAUGUCUGAGAGAUGUUGAUCUGGAAGCUCAGGGCUGCCCAGCACCUCGGGGAGUCUGCUCCAUGAUCACUGCCCGCUGGUGAAGAACCUUCUCUCCUGAUAUCCAACCUGACCUCCCAGUCCUUGGGGCUCCUGAAUAGAAAAAAGAAUCAAGGAACUCAGACAGGGAUGAGAAAGCCACCCCAGAAGAAACAAACGUAGAGAGAUCUGACAGAGUGCUGUCAUAGCUUUCAACGCACGUAUCAAAUAAGCCAAACAACCACCGAAUUUAAACCAAAGCUAUUCAACUGUGCAUGCCGUCCCCUUGCAUGCUGUCCCAUGAGACUUUAGAUUAGCCCAGAAAGAGCACGUUGCAGCCAGUAUAUCUGAUUUUUUGCUCCACCUAAAUAAGACCUUAGGGCUUAUAAUGGAACGUGUUCUGUCAAAUUUAGUGCAAUUCAGACAUAAUUAUGCAAAAUAAGGCUCUUUCUUCUUUUCCUUUGGGUUUGGUGUGAGCUUUGUUACUCUGUUCAGUUUCACAUGCAAUUCUUUGUUCACUUAGAUUGAGAAAUGAGAUUGAUUCUCCCUCCUCCCUACCUUCUCUAUCUUAAUAGGUAGUUUUAGCAGAGUCUUUUAGAAACAAUCCAUAAAUGAAUUGAACUGUCCUCUACUUAUCUGGAAUGAACAAUUUCCUUGCUGUGCCCUUCUGAGCCUUUCCAUAUCUGUGCUGAGAUCUGUAACAGUGGUAACUGGUGAAAGAAAUCAUCACUGCCAUUAAAGGAUGUUCUAGUAAUGGU
rnacentral:lncRNA from 7 species